rnacentral:tRNA from 1 species
GGAGAGAUGGCUGAGUGGUUGAUAGCUCCGGUCUUGAAAAUCGGUAUAGUUCUUUGANNCGAACUAUCGAG